UGCAACCAGGAAGGCACUCAGUCUAUUGUGC
rnacentral:piRNA from 1 species